GCGUGUGGGAUGACAGGGCUUCGCCUUGUAAACCACUGUCGGAUGGGACGAGAGGGAGCCUUGGGCUCCUGGGACGGUACCAUCAAAGGAAGGGUCGGCUAACUACGUGCCAGCAGCCGCGGUAAUACGUAGGACCCGAGCGUUGUCCGGAUUCACUGGGUAUAAAGGGUGCGUAGGCGGUCUUGUGCGUCAGAGGUGAAAUAUCCGGGCUUAACCCGGAGGGUGCCUUUGAUACGGCAGGACUUGAGUCCGAGAGAGGAUGAUGGAAUUCCUGGUGUAGCGGUGAAAUGCGU
rnacentral:rRNA from 1 species